rnacentral:misc_RNA from 1 species
GAAUGGCACUGGCUGUGGUGCUUGCUAUCAGGUUAGGUGUAAGGCACCACAACUUUGCACUGAUGACGGGGUGAAUAUAGUGGCGACUGACUAUGGUGAAGGGGACAACACUGACUUCAUUCUUAGCACAAGAGCUUAUGCAAGAAUGGCAAAUCCAAACAUGGCCUUACAAUUAUUUGCAUACGGUGUCGUCGACGUGGAAUACCGGAGGAUUUCUUGCCGG